rnacentral:lncRNA from 1 species
UUUUUUUCAACUGGAACAAAAGUCAAUCUUAAUUCUUAAUUUUACAAAAUAUUUAAUCAAUAGAUUGACGAAUGACAGAUAAAACAUGGGGGUAAAACUGGUUUUGCUGGUGGUUGCAGUUGGGGACUAAAUAGCUUAUUCUAGGUUUGGGUAGAAAAUAAUAAAUUAGAACAGGUUACCCUUGCACAUAUAAUAUACAAUGUAUAAAAUGAUAAAUCAGGAAUGUGUCCAUGGGCCCCCGCUUGCAUAUGAUGUAUAAAGGUUCAGGACUAAGAACAGUAAGGCCAAAUAAAAAUAUAUGUGUGGUUCCAGUUACAUACUUUUAAAAAAUAGGGUCGGUAAGUCGGCAAACUUUUUUUUUUUUUUUUUAUUUUUUUGAAUGUCAAAAUCCGGAAAAAAAUCGUGUGUUUACCGAAAUUGUUUCCGGUAUUAUACACGCCCCAACCGGAAGUCCACCAUUUUUACAUGUGUUUGGUUGUAAAACCACAGUCAUGAUACGUUUUUAGUUAAUUUUGUUGCAUUCUGUUAUGAAUUGUUGCAUUUUAGCCAUAACAGAUACUUGUGAUGGAAAUUCAGAUGACAGAAAUCUAUGAAUUAAUUAUUUUAAUUCACAAUCCUCAAAAUUUGAUGUUUGAAAAUUUAUUUUUCAGAAAUGAAAAAAAAAGUUCUAGGGUCGGGGGGUUUAACUAGGGUCAGUCGGGUUACUGGAACCACACGUAUAUUUUUAUUUGGCCUAAGAGUGACUACCCAAAUUUGAUCUGAGUUUUGUGUUAAUAAGCAUUGUGUAUAAGAUUCAUAACAUUUGGUUGAGGCAAACUAAAGAAACAGAAUUGAAACAAAAAUUCAGUGAUUUUUACAUCUGUAAAGGGGCAUAACUAUACAAUGGUGAAAUUGAGGAAUAUUCCAACUUAAUCUUUAUUUGUGGUAAUAGGCAUUUUGUACAAGUUUCAUUACAUUUGGUUGAGGCAAGCUUCAGUUUGAGAACAGAAAUCAAUUGUUGACUGUACGCGAGUACGGACGGACAGAUGGACAUGGGUAAAACUUAAUGGCCCCUACUAAAAAGAGGGGGCAUAAAUAUGUGCAUCCCUCUUUUAAAAUAAUCAUAAAAAAUAUUUACUUGAUUUUAAACAACCACCAAUCACUCUAUCCAUGCAAAUCAAUCAUUUCAUGUAAGAGAAUGGAAUAAAAAUUUUAUUCAAAUAAGAACAGCCUAUUUGUUCCUCUUGAAUUAGUUUUACA